AAGUUUAGAAUCUGUCUAUUUCUAGUUCUAUCUUUAGAAUCUUUCUAGUUCUAGUUCUAUAUUUAGCUUCCAUCACGUAUUCAUUGAUUUUUUGAGGUGUCAGUACUGAAUUAAAUAAGCAUAUACUAUCCUCAUAUUUAUAUUUCCCUAAUUCAGACAGUUUCCACAUUAAAUAGAACAGCAAAAAAUGUGUUCACAUGCAGUUUUAGGGAAGUAUUUAUUUAAACUUGUUUCUAUCACGACAUAUCUAUAUCAUAUCCUACAAUGGUAUUCGAAUUACAAGAAUAUCCUUGACUAUUAUUAAUUGUCAUACAACAUAAGCAUAAAAUAUCGACAAUAUCUCUACACAGUUAAUGUGGUGUGCAAUAAAUUAAAGCACAGUAAUUGCUGAAUGAGCAGGAUGUACUAAUAACUGACGACUUGCUUGUCAGUGUUCUGAGUAAAGAAUGAUGCGAUGAACAACGGACUAUCAUGGAUCUGGUGUUUGAAGGCAAUUUUUAUAACGAUUCUCAUGGCCAUACCACUGGUCAUUUAUAUAGUUAAUUCAAAAACGUCUAGUAGUCAUUAUCAGGUUUAUGGAUCUACACAUGCUCAGUGCUUCGGUAGCAAUGACGGAAUAACAUCAGAAGUAGUAAAGAGGAGAAACGAAAUAUCUAGACAAUUAAAUGAUAUGAGCAAAAAACUAGGACAAAUAGAAUGUGAUAGACAACAAGUUAACAGAAAGGGUGGAUGGUGCAAGCAUUUAAGUUUGGAAACAACUGGAGAACAUAAAACCGAUUUUAAACUUGUAAAGGCUUUAUCACGAUUCCUUGAAGGGAAAAAUGUAGGGAGCUUUGGUGAUGGACCCGGUGUUUACAAGCGUGAAAUCCUCUAAUUAGGACAGGUUAGAUAUUACGACGCAUAUGACGGAGCGCCAUUUUGUGAGGAAACAAGUGAAGGGAGAGUUCAAUUUAUGGAUUUAACCAUUGCACAAUACGGAAUACCUCUUUAUGACUGGAUCGUAUCUCUAGAAGUUGCCGAACAUAUACCGCAACAAUAUUAGAGUGUUUAUUUAGAAAACAUAUUUAGACAUGCUCGGGAGGGUAUAAUUUUGAGUUGGGCUGUGCCAGGACAGGGGGGAAUGAGUCAUAUUAAUAAUAAACCCUCUAGUUAUGUGAUUAAUUUGAUGAAGAAUAAUGGGUUUGUCAGAGACGAGGAGCUAUCAAAACUGUUGAGAAAGUCUACAUCGCUAUGGUGGUUACAGCAAAAUACAAAUGUUUAUAAACGAGUAGAUUUUCUGAA